GCCUAGCUGGCUCAGUCAGUAGAGCAUCUGACUCUUGAUCUUGGGGUCACGAUUUCAAACCACGUGUUGGGUA
rnacentral:tRNA from 1 species